GAUGAAGAACGCAGCGAAAUGCGAUAAGUAGUGUGAAUUGCAGAAUUCAGUGAAUCAUCGAAUCUUUGAACGCACAUUGCGCCCCUUGGUAUUCCGAGGGGCAUGCCUGUUCGAGCGUCAUUAUCACCCCUCAAGCUCAGCUUGGUGUUGGGGCCGGCCCGUCACAGGGCCGCCCCUAAAAGCAGUGGCGGUGCCAUCUGGCUCUACGCGUAGUAAUACUCCUCGCGACAGAGUCCCGGUGGUGUCCUGCCAGAACCCCCCAUCUUUUUAAUGAUUGACCUCGGAUCAGGUAGGGAUACCCGCUGAACUUAAGCAUAUCAAUAACGGAGGA
rnacentral:misc_RNA from 1 species